GGCAAGCAGAAAACACUCAUGAUACUUCAAAUAACAAUAGCCAGAUAUAGUACAAGCUCUACAAAUAACACGUACUACAAGCUGUAACAUAUACAAUACUUUACAAGUACUACAAGUUACACGUAAUACAAGCUUAGUUGAUACAAGCUCUACAAGUAUGGGAAUCACAGUUACAAGCUCCACAAGUGUUUUCUUCUUCUACAUGUAACUCCUUCAAUAUCGAUCAAAUGCCAGACUCACUGGAGGGCCAUAGUCAGGACUGGACCUUCCACGGACGCCCUGUUACAUGAAUCAGCUGAUAAGAAUUAGAAAAACUGGAGCCAAUAUAUUAUGAACAUCCCAUUCAAAAAACGAGUAAAGGAGUAAAGGACAUUCUUUGUUUCAUCACGUUACAAAGGAGCAGCACAAACCACAAAUUUACUCGACACACACACACAUACACGCAUGCAUUCUAAAUAUACUAAAUCUAGCUAGGUUUCUUUUACCUGGUUUUUUUGACUUUUUUCUAUCAGUGAAAACUAUGCCAAUGAGAUAGGGACACGUUAUUUACUGGGGGACAUGGGCGUGUGAGCGCCGGGGUGGACUUAGUGAUUUAGGUUACUGGGGACAUGCUUUCUGCCCGCACAUGGGCUGCAUGCCGGCGUGUUUGAUUUGGUCAUAUCGUUUUUGUCCGCUUGCUGUUUUGCCUGGCCGACUGCAUGGCGCCGUGAUUCAUGGGCGGGCUGCUGCAUGUGCGUCUGCAUGCGGCCGUGGUUGAUUCAACUGCGUUUUUUUUCUUCCGUAUUUUUCUGUCGUUCAGUUGCAUGCCGUUUGAGUUUUUUGCUUCUCUGUGCGUGUCCAUCCACGUGUUGCAUGGAUAGUGGUCAUUGUAUGAUGUUGUUACAUGUCGAGUGCAUUGUGUUGAUUGGGAGCUCGCCACGUUAUUCGGUACUGUCACCAUCUGUUUAUAGAGGUUGACGUGUGUUGGGCUUCCAGGCGGUGCCGCUCUUGCCGUAUGGUCUCGAAACCAUUUUUUUCGAUCGUUCUGUAUCUUUCUGGUUAAUUCGAUUUAGGUUUCUUGUUCCUGGAGGACGCUAUAUAUAGGUGGCUCUCCCCGUUGGUUUUCUUUGCCUCGCUGGCUGCGAUUUCUAUUUUAUGCCUAUUGAUGGUUCGUCCUGCCUCUGCCCGGAGCCGGAGCGACUUGCUUCGCCCAGGCCGCCAUCCUGGUGUUCGAGCAGCCGUCAUUAAUCGGGUGUCUAAUGGCUGGAGCCGAGCUGCUGCCUGAGGUCGUCGUGCGUUAAUGAGAGAGGAUGCCGUUGGUGGCCGACUGUCCGUGUCCGAUGUUCAUUUGUUGCGUUGGGUUCGUCGUCCUGUCUGCCUUGUAGUUACUGGUUGGUUUGGUCUAUCUGCUUGCUUCUCUNNNNNNNNNNNNNNNNNNNNNNNNNNNNNNNNNNNNNNNNNNNNNNNNNNNNNNNNNNNNNNNNNNNNNNNNNNNNNNNNNNNNNNNNNNNNNNNNNNNNNNNNNNNNNNNNNNNNNNNNNNNNNNNNNNNNNNNNNNNNNNNNNNNNNNNNNNNNNNNNNNNNNNNNNNNNNNNNNNNNNNNNNNNNNNNNNNNNNNNNNNNNNNNNNNNNNNNNNNNNNNNNNNNNNNNNNNNNNNNNNNNNNNNNNNNNNNNNNNNNNNNNNNNNNNNNNNNNNNNNNNNNNNNNNNNNNNNNNNNNNNNNNNNNNNNNNNNNNNNNNNNNNNNNNNNNNNNNNNNNNNNNNNNNNNNNNNNNNNNNNNNNNNNNNNNNNNNNGUGUUUGUUUUCUUGAUCUUUGUAGGGGCUGGGUCUACAUCUCUAUAAUGAUUCGUCUGCUGGUGGUUUGUACAUUCUGGUGGCCACAACCUCGGCGACCCGGGCUACAACGAAAGUGGCUGUGGCGGGGAUGGACGAUGCUCCUGCUGCACGCGGAGCUCUGGUGGAGGUGGCUCAUGCAUCUGGUGCGCCUGCAGGGGCGGUGGUAUUGAACUCUUGAUGGUGCGCAUGGCAUACUUCGUGAGGCAAAGCAGCCUGGGGGCGCGAGGUGGCCCGCUCGAUGGUGCCUGCGUGCAGGUUUCCCGGGAUCCGUCUUGGGUGCUGGAGCUAUCACGCCGCCGCCACUCCAGUUGCUGUCUCCGGCCGCUGCGUAGCUCCGCUGCUCGCAAGUUGUGCAGAGACAACCGUUGUCUAGCCCCGUUUACUUGUCGGAGCCGAUCCGGUUCUUAGAGAGAGAGAAGAGGUAGCGGUAUGGGGCUCAUGAUGCCAAGGUCCACGGUCCAGCUGCCACUGUCUACCUCUGUCUAGGUUGAGCUCGAGGGCGGGAGCUGGCGGUGCGCUAGGGAACCGGCGGAACGAGCUGGCGGUGCCGCCGUGCUCCACAACAUGGAGUAUGCCAUCGUCAUGGACUCAAACGCCCAUUGCCCGGGUGCUUUGCUGUUUGCGGCGUGGUUGGUCGCCACGAUACUCAACUUCGCGGAUUCUACGUCCGGUGUCUGCUAUCGGACUCUACGCGGGCGACUAUGAGGUGGCGGGGCAGUCGACGGGCCCUAGGCAUGCCGGCGCACGCGUUCUCGCCGACUUGGGCGAUUCAGCGGCUUCGUGUUGUGCGUGUCGCUGGACGCGGCCGUCGAUUAAGGAUCGGUGGCGGGUGCACGAGAUGGACGACCUGCUCGGGUUUGCCUACUCGAUGGAGAAUGACAAUCAUGCGCGGAUCCGUAUGACUAUCACGUCACGGGAGCUGACCAACCACGACGUCGUCACGGUAUCCAGAGCCUGUAAGAGAGCAACUCAAACUUCAAUGUCGUCACACCGCCGGCGACGAGUUGCAGGGAAAUCCAUAGCAGGUCCGCGAGCAUGCACUUCGCGCGGUGGAGCGGCUCGGCCGGCGUAGCGCGCACAAGCGUUUGUGUGGGUAGUUGCUCAUCGAUGGACGACCUUUUUUCAGAACUUUGUGAGCAUUUAAACACUGGUCACUGGGUGUGGAAGAUAGGGUAUAUUGUAUAUACGUGAUUUUUACAUGUAUAGAGCAAAUAAUACACAAAUUAAUAGAUACUGGAGGCUUUUCAAAGAAAAUAUGAUACACUUGGCAAAAAUAAAAUGAUACUCUGAGUUCACUAAGCGAUUCAUUCCUUCUAGAUUUUCUGGGCGAUCUCUUCUUUCCUCGACGAUUUUCUUAUCUACUCCAUCGGGUGGAUGGGCAGAGAGAGGGAGAGCUCCCAUGUAUGCGAGCUCUUACGUCGGGUAGGGAAUUCAGACUAUAAACGGGUACGACCAAUCAGCUGCAUGCAAACUACCUCCAUCUAUGUAUCCGAUCCAUGCAAAACCAGGAUGGUAAAUCAAUCCUAAAUUAACUUAACAGGUCAACUCUUUCCUUUGUAUAUCUUUUAUUCUUGUCAAGCCUUUCCUUGGGUCGUUCCUUAUGCGUAGAGUAAAAAAAGGAGGAAGUACAAGCUAGCUAACAAGAAAAAUAAUUUAUCACAUGGCAUAUGUAAUAAGCUAUAAAAAACCAGAAAAUAAUUUUGUCCUGGGGGUUCGGUUCGAGGUGAGUAUUGAGGAUCAGUAAUUAACUGCUUUACACGAGAAAUGUUGGGAGGUUAACAUAAAUCUAGGGAAGAAAUUGGACGCAUCGACUGGCUUAAACUGAACUUUGCAAAUCGUUCCUCUUACCGUCCCCAAUUUGUUGAAAUUGUAAAAUUACCACACAUACAUGGAUUUUACAAGAAAUAUGUGAGGCAUUAUACAACUUCAUAUACCCACGACACCCAUAUCCGAUGAUCCGAUAGUACCAUGCACCAGGCUUAAACCACCUCAGGAUCACCUUCAAGAAUUGUAUUUUUCUAAAUGUACCAUCUACUGCCUUAACUUUACAAUAAAAUAAUGGACUAAAUUCAUACUUUUUGUAAACCUAGAUAUAUGACUAUUAGCUAAAAACAUAAACUAUAAAACAUCCAUACACAUCAAUAAACAUAUCAUUCACACAUUUACACUAUUAUAUAACCAGAUGAUCCUUAAGACUGUAUUUAUUUAUAGACAAACAAACACAACCCGAUGACAAAGUUAAGAUAUCAUUUCAAAUUAAUUCCAAUCAGCUUUUGCGAUAGCAUAUCCAUAUGCCUUUCUGUCAUCCCAUUUCGUAGUUCAACACCAUAUCGUAUAUUUUGCAUCAAGGAAAAGCAUUAUUUUCCCAAUCUACACCCUUCAUUUCAAAUUAGCCAUCUUCCCAAGUGAACAUAUGAUUCUCUCUACAACUUCCUCUGUGUAUUCACGUCAAAUAUAACUCAUUGGUCCGAUCAACUAUAUCUUCUAUCAAAUCAAACAUGUUAUCACUCGAUAUGAGUACGUUCACACUAAAAAUGUACUUUCACAAUACAAAUGUAACAACUCAUACUAUAUUUCCCCUCACCAAGACGUCUACUUUCGAAAGUGUGUUCUCUUUCACCUAUAGUGUUAGGAAUAUCCACAAAGAGACCUCUUCGUUCAACAUAUCCCAUAUCUGCGAUCCUCAAGACAGCACAACUAUUAAGACAAGGGAAAAUUAGUAUUUUUUAUUACAUGAGCAAAAAAUAGCACUUACACACGCAACGUAUCGAUGGGGUGCGGCGUGCCGCCGCACGGGCUAAGCUAGUAUUAAGCUAAGUUCCAGCAACUAUAUCAUGGUUUAAUAGAGCAUGUAAUGAAUGACAGUUCAAUUUCACAGCCGGCCUCAGCAUCAUCAAACCACCAUGCUUAUGAUCAUAACCUAAGCAUAUCAUCAAACAAAACCUACAUAGAUAAAGAUCACGGCACAUCAAGCCACAAGCGUUGGCAUGAGAUUCAAUGCAACAGCGAUGGGGCUACCACAACAGCAUCAAAAACCUAAGCAUACUACAGAAAAUACAUAGUUGGUGCUGGAGGGACUGGUGAAUUACCUCAGUGGCGUACUUGAUGGGUGAUGAUGGUCCUUCUCAAGGAAGUAGUUGUUGUCCACAGUUAAGAGGUUUCAUACAUUUGUCUACAACAUCCAGCAAACCAGAAAUAAGAACGAACACUUCAAUCUCAUAAGAAGUUUAAAAAAUAAUAUAGCAGGACCUAAUUAAUGUUGCAAAUUAUAUUAUGGAUGCAUACAUUGUGAUGCGAAAAAUGAUUAGAUCAUCAUAAAAUGACAUUCAACAUCUAUGUAAUAAAUUGCUAACAAACCUAUACAGAUCAUCCAUUGCUAACAAACCUAUACAUAAAGUAAUAAAUUGUACCCCCUAAUACAGACCAUGAAUUGGGCCGAACAAGCUCGUGUUAACUGGCUACCAUUCGAAUCAUAAUUGUACCAUGGCAUAGAAAAGAAUUCAGUAACCUCACUUCUACAAAUUAACCUGAUGCUGUUGUACUCCUACACCAUUAAAGCUCAUGGUCGGGAUAAACAAUACUAAUAACCCAUAGAUAGCAUGGUAUAGAAUCAAGCAAACAGUUAAUACUAGCUAUCUCAAGGAACAACAAAAAAUAAAUGUUGAGAACUAUGGUACAAUAAACAUACAAGACAUAUGUCGUCCAUGGAAUCAGUGCAUUGCUGUAGCAGAUCACCAGGUAUGGUGCCAUGCCGCAUAAUUGAUUUCCUGAACUCAGUAUGCUACACUUGUCUAUCCCACAUCAGGGCUCAUGAAUCCUCAUCAAAGUGUCAAAUUUUACCUGAAGUAGGGCAGUGGUCACAGCGAAAACCACGUACAGGUCAAUGAUCUGCACGGCACGAGAAGCACAUCAGGAAUUCGGUAGCCGUGAGUGGCAGACAAAAAAAUACUGUUAGGAAAUCUGUACACGAAUGAGGCAUAGAGCAGCAAAAUGAGAUAGAUAUUCAUGAUCUUCACAGCAUGAAUCCAAAUCCUACGGCUGAUAGUGGCCCUCUUUAUACUACAAACGACACCUGUACACAACCAUUGACACCGUUCAAGAAUCACAACAGCACACUAAGAAAAAUGAUAGGUUCGGCAAGCCUGUAACAUACUAUAUACAGCAAUAGGAGCAAAAAUCUAAUAAAUUCAUUACAGGCUUGCCAAUAAAAAUAGCAGGUUACCUACACACCAGGAAACAUAAACUUGAGAGGUUGAGAUGAAGGCCUAUCAACUACAUCAGUUUUAAACACUACAGGACCAGACAGUAGGUGAUGCUUCAAAUUUCAAAACUCAAUCAUUCAUGAUUAAUAGUAGCAAUUUAAUCUUACAAAACAUAGGGGCAUGUACAACAUGAGAGCACACUACAACCAGAACUUACAACCAGACCUUCCUCGAAUUUUAUGCACAGCCGCAGCAGAUAAGCUAUAUGAACAUAAUGAUAUAACCCAUAACUAACAAUACCAAUUUUAUGCAUCAUGAAUGAAGAAAUCAAAAUAGGAUGCUUUUCUUUACUAGUGUGUGGAGGAAAAGGAAAAGCAGCAGCACAUGCUUUUCCUAUUUGCUUUGCUUUCCUAUUAGCAUCUCCGAUCAAUCAAAAAGGAUGCAGCAAGUGAUUACAUUAACCCCGAUUCAAAUAUUUCAAGUACUGGACAAUCAUUUCAUGCAGCCAUUCAUAAACAUACUACUACAAGGGAACUACAACUUUUUAUUUUUAAGCAUAACGUUUAAGUAUGUAAACUUUUCUCUAGAGUCCCUACACACUACACACUACUACUCAACUACUGUAUGUGUGUAGUACUAUGUCAGUAAGCAGCAGAGGAGAUUUAAAAGGAAGGACCAUGUGUGUGUAUGUAGAAAACACACACAAGAAACACUGAAUAUGAUCUAUUUAGUCGGACAGGUUCAGUUACGGACAACUCUGGGAAACAUGUACUACUAUAUGCUUCUCUGCCACAAGUGCCGAGAUUAUCUGUGGGAUUUUGGUGAACACCUUUUUAACUAGGCAGACAUUGUAUUUUUUAUAGUACAAAAUCCUAUCUUCUUUACAAUACAUGUAGCCAUCGUCCGUUGCUCUGUAGCUGUUGUGGAGUUGCCAGCACGAAAUAGAGCAAACAUAUAUUCGCAUUUCAGAGGGCCGACCAAUGUUUAUAUCAGGGGUGAAACAAUACCAAAAGUAGACAUGGAAUAUGGUCCAGUCGAUCAACCAUACUUUUAAAAGCUUACUUAUUAUACAUUACUACCGGGCAGUCCUUGGGAUUUCAAACAAGCAGAAACUCCAUCGACAAUUAACUACAAGAUCUAAUAGCAGAACCUACCUUUGCAUAACCAAAAGUACAUGUAUUAAUUCAAGCUAACAACUAAAAAGAAACAGAGACUUGAUGGCAGCAGGAUCAUCUUCCACUUGAGAAGCUGGCUGGAGUAGAAAAGGAUGAUUAGACGUGAAUAUGGAUAUAAGUGCACAUCAACUGCUUUUGCAUAAGCACACCAUAUAUAUACAUUGAUGUUUCGAGGUCGGUCUUGCCGUGGACUCACAAUCCACAUCCAACAGCCCACCAUCUCGUAUAUACAUCCAAAUCAUAAAAAUGGCGGUCAAACAACAAGGUAGUGCAAAGAAAUUAUGUAAGCUAUUGUGCUGGAUCACUAUCAUUCACGCAAUAACUAUCAAACACAUGCAUCAAUAGUUAAAUACUUCUGACAGACUAUCAAAGGUCAAACAUACUUGUUGGGAGUUUUCUUUUUCAGCAUGAGACACAAUAAUCUUAAGUAGCAACAAUGAAAAGAACUUCCUAACUACGGGUCCUCUUAUCGCCAACCAAGAACAUUAGGUGAUGAAAAACAAUGUAUUUUCAAAGCUAUACUUUAGCAAACCACCACUUCUCUACUAACAUGUGAGUGAAAUUACUACAUUAUUGUUCCAUAGAGUUUAUGUGUACAUUGGCCAUUAAUUGAUGAGGACUGAUGCAAUGGAUGCUGCCUUGGCAAC
rnacentral:lncRNA from 1 species